UACGUAGGGUGCAAGCGUUGUCCGGAAUUAUUGGGCGUAAAGAGCUCGUAGGCGGUUUGUUGCGUCGGCUGUGAAAUCCCGAGGCUCAACCUCGGGUCUGCAGUCGAUACGAGCAAACUAGAGUGUUGCAGGGAGACUGGAAUUCCUGGUGAUAGCGGUGAAAUGCGCAGAUAUCAGGAGGAACACCGGUGGCGAAGGCGGGUCUCUGGGCAACAACUGACGCUGGAGGAGCG
rnacentral:rRNA from 1 species